GUGUAGUGACAGUAACGUGACCACUGUGCCUCUCACGAGAGACUCUUGAUAUUUCAAAUGGAUUCUGCUUUCUCACAUUCCUCCAAAAGACACUUUUCCUUAGAAUUUUAUUGCAUUUAUUUUUUCUUGUGGUGAGAUAAAUUUCUUCUUUACCAUAUAUCUAAUAUUUUCCAGUUUAUUAUUCAUGGUCACUGUGUGGAAUUCCUGUCUUCUUGAAGAUAUUUUUCUUGGAGCUCAACAAUUAACUGCCUAGUUCUUUCAAGGCUUUCUUUGCAUUGGUUUUCAGAUUAAUUUCACAGUUUCUCAAAAUACCUAUCUUCCUCUUUCUUGGUCUUCACCCUCAUUGUGCUGGCAAACACCUUCAAGAAGGGGUGUGUAAAAUAAUUUUUCUAAAUCUUCACUCUUCAGAAAAUAACUUUGUCUUUAUGUUUAAGAAUUUGGCUAAAGAAUCCUAGCUUCAAAAUAAUUCUCAGAACACUAAAGGCUUUGUUUUGCUGUCUUGUAACAUCCAUCUUGAAAAUGAAAAGUCCAAUGCUAGUGUUGGUGUCAUUCUACGGCUGUGACCUGCUUUUCCUCCUUGAUAGUUAUUAGGAUCUCAUGGGGGCCAUUUUUUACUCAUGCUAAUCUAGAUGGACAGUGAGGAGAUAAAACUGUGUUAUUAAAAUCAACUGAAAGACCUAGGUGGUUGGGCUGCAGAAGAUCUGACGCAGCUCUACUCCAGCCUCAUGAUAUAUGAACUACUAUCACAAGCAGGAAAGAGGUCAUAAAGUUGUAGUAUUUGAAGAUCUCUUCAAGGCAGAGUGAGAUGGGAAACUCCUCAAAGAAUCUGCUUCAUUGGUUGUUGCCCUAGAGCUCCUUCAGAUCUGGCAAAAAAGCCAACCUAUCAUCAUCCAUCAUCUUUCUUGUAAUUUAAAAAAAUUAAUGUUUGUGCUCAAAAUAGUAUAUGCUCAUCAAAAAAAAUUAGCAAAUAAAAAAUGUGGAAAAGUAGAAAAACAGAAAUCACCUACAGACUAAACAUUCCUAUAAAUAUCAACACAUUGAUUUCUUUUUCUCUUUUCCAUACAUUUUUUUUCUGAAAAUGUACAACCUGCUUUUUCAUUAAUUAUAGUUUUCUAUGAACAUAUCCCUGUCUCUACAAAAAUCCUUUUGAAUGGCUGGGCAUUCCAGUUGUUUCCAGCUUUUCCUCUAUUGCAAAUGUCCUAAUAUUUUAGAGAUAACACUUUUUCUCUACUUCAUAUGAAAAACAUAAGCAAACACAAGAAUAAAUCCAAUGGCUGCUUUCUCUGGCCUUGAGUUGUGGGGCAAAACAAGAGCUUGAGAUGAAACUGCUCCUUUCAGAAUUAAAAACAAGGUAUUUCACGGUGUCAUUCUAAGUUGCUGUGCAUCCAUCUCUGUAUUCUCUACAUUGUUCAUCUUAGAGGAGUGCCUGUGAACCAGGGGGCUGAAGCCACAAAGCAGGACUUUCCAGGACCACUUACAUCCUUGAGAUGAAUAUUAUCAAGGUCACAGUUGCUGUGUACUGUUUCAACCAACCAGCCUUCAGGAGUGAUCAUGUUGAGGGUUAGAAGGGGUGCUUCAGGGAUAUCCAAGAAUGUUGCC